rnacentral:lncRNA from 1 species
UCAAUAGAUGUUGGCUCUUCUGAUCUGUAUUGGAUUCAUCCUCUCAGCCAGAGCAUUCCUAAAGGGAGACCCAGCAAGAAGCAGCGGGAGGAGGGAAGAGGGGGGCCAUCGGUCACCCAUGACUGCUAGUGCCCUGUAAUCAGAUCUUAGCAGACUCUUCUCUCAGAGAUGCAUGAGGGCGUUUGCUUGAAUCUGCUAAAAGAAAUAACUAGUGCUCAUGGUCACCAGAUUGAACAGCUAAUCACAGCUCUCCAUCUGUGAUUAGAAAGAACUGCCGUGAGUGGUGUGAGAACGGAGAGCUUGUUAGGCAAGAAUUGAAGGAGCAUUCGCCGCUUCUAGAGGCAAAACGUGCAAUGAACAUCAGAAACCGCUGGGUCUUAGACAUGAAUCGGGGAAUGGCUUCUGAUGUUUUUUCCUUUUUAAAUAUCCAAAGCCUUAAAAAUGAGGACCCAGGGCACCGGAGCCUGGACCUCUGGCUGAAUUAGCUGCCACGUCUUCUGAUCACUGUCUCUCUUGCCACUCCAACAGGGAGUGGAGGCCCCCUCCCUCACCCUCGCCCAACUGCAAGGUCAAGUGGAGGGCGGGCAUCGAUGCUCCACAGGUGUGCUGUGUCUGCCUGACCAACAGCUUCCAGUGCACACACUCAUGUGUGUAAGCCUGUUCCUGCGCCCCUGCCUCUGCUGACUGGACCCCAAGGAAGGCACCUGACCCAAGGGCCAUAGUCAUCUGGCUUAGGGAGAUGGGCUGGACCAAUCAAAUUCCUUUGCUCAGCAAUUCAAACUAAGAAAGAUAGGGACGAUGCAUUUACCUGCUAGUUGCAAGAUCCCCAGCUGAAUGGUCCUGCAGUCGAGUUGGACAUGGGGAGAACUUGCCUGGAUGGAAGGGCCUGCCCAUGGCCCAACAUAAAGAAGCAGAUGAGAGGUGUGUGGCCAUGUCUGACCAAGGUGAAGGGCCAGAAUGAAGGUCCCCAGAUCCAGGGGUGUCCCCGAGGGGCUUGGCCUGAUUAUAGCUCCAUGAAGAUCUCAGGAUGGACUCUGUUUUAAUAGUGUUGGCUGAGUAGGAGCCUCUUUAUUGUGACCAGCUGAACCCAAUCCUGGUAUUUAGUAAUCUUCUACAAGAUGCCGUCUGAUUGCAGAUCUCUGACAUCAGAGCGAAUCAGCCUGGCCGUGGCUCUAGCUUGGAGUGGGGCUGACCGAUGGAACCACGGGGCUGAUUUGUGUGAUUACCAGGCCUGCUUUCUUAGGUGGUGGGGGAGGUAUAUGAUUCUGGGAGGAGCCUCUAAAAGAAACACUUAAGACCUACUCAUAGGUAAGUGACAAAUGCUUCUUAAUUCGGAAAUUUCCUCCUGGGGUCAGCAUAUACAUAACCAUUCAACAGGUAUUCAUUGGAUGGGGUUGACGUUCAACUCAUUGUGCUACGUGCUGAGAGUGAUCCAAAGAUAGAACAUUCAUGAAGCUGUUGUUCUAGACUUAAAAUUUUGAAAAAAAGCAUGCACUGUAGAAAUCAAGAUAAAAAGUGAUCAU